rnacentral:rRNA from 1 species
UACAGAGGGUGCAAGCGUUGCUCGGAAUUAUUGGGCGUAAAGGGCGCGUAGGCGGUGCGGUAAGUCUCUAGUGAAAUCUCCGGGCUCAACUCGGAGCCUGCUAGGGAAACUGCCGUGCUUGAGUGUGGGAGAGGUGAGUGGGAUUCCCGGUGUAGCGGUGAAAUGCGUAGAUAUCGGGAGGAACACCUGUGGCGAAAGCGGCUCACUGGACCACAACUGACGCUGAGGCGCGAAAGCUAGGGGAGCAAACAGG